rnacentral:miRNA from 1 species
CCAGUUACAUUUGAGUUUGGGAUAAACAAUGAAUAAUUUUUAGUAUAUGAAUGCUCUCAACAAUAUUUGGGACAUGCUUAUACUAAAAAUUAUUCAUUGUUUUUCUGAAAUUCAGCUUUUACUUGGUACCCUGAA